GAUGAACGCUAGCUACAGGCUUAACACAUGCAAGUCGAGGGGUAACGAGAGGAAAGCUUGCUUUCCUUGUCGACGACCGGCGCACGGGUGAGUAACGCGUAUCCAACCUGCCCCCAACUAGGGAAUAACCUUGCGAAAGUAAGACUAAUACCCUAUAAUUUCCUCAGAUGUCAUCUGACGAGGAAUAAAGAUUUAUCGGUUGUGGAUGGGGAUGCGUCUGAUUAGCUUGUUGGCGGGGUAACGGCCCACCAAGGCAACGAUCAGUAGGGGUUCGCAGUGAAAGGUCCCACACAUAGGAAGUGAGACACGGUCCAAACUCCUACGGGAGGAAGCAGUGAGGAAUAUUGGUCAAUGGCAGGACGCCUGAACCAGCCAAGUAGCGUGCAGGAUGACGGCCCUAUGGGUUGUAAACUGCUUUUAUACAGGAAUAAAGUUAGCCACGUGUGGUUAUUUGUAGGUACUGUAUGAAUAAGGACCGGCUAAUUCCGUGCCAGCCGCCGCCGUAA
rnacentral:rRNA from 1 species